rnacentral:pre_miRNA from 14 species
GUCAUUUUUUGACACGCGUGUUAAAAGUAAGUUACUUUUAACACUAGUGUUAAAAGUAACUUACUUUUAACACGCGUGUCAAAAAAUGACAUU